UACAGAGGGUGCGAGCGUUAAUCGGAAUUACUGGGCGUAAAGCGCGCGUAGGCGGUUUUGUAAGUCGGAUGUGAAAUCCCCCGGCUUAACCUGGGAACUGCGUCUGAUACUGGAAGGCUUGAGGAUGGGAGAGGGAUGUAGAAUUCCAGGUGUAGCGGUGAAAUGCGUAGAUAUCGGGAGGAAUACCAGUGGCGAAAGCGGCACCCUGGCCUUGGCCUGACGCUCAGGUGCGAAAGCGUGGGGAGCGAACGGG
rnacentral:rRNA from 1 species